rnacentral:misc_RNA from 1 species
AAGUCGUAACAAGGUCUCCGUAGGUGAACCUGCGGAGGGAUCAUUAACACGUGUAAAAACGUAUUUUAAAAUAACCCUAACCUAACAACCAAUACCGUGAACUAUGUUAUAAUAUUUUAUUUUAUUAUACCUUUUUUUGACUUUUAUGUUUUACUAGUAACAUAGUAACUCAUGAUAGAUGAAAAAAACAAACCCUUUUCCAACCUUUAUUUUUUUCUAUCUGUUUGUUAUAUAUAUGUUUCUUUAUGAGAUCAUAUAUAUAUAAUAACAACAUAAUAUAAAAAAAAUACAAAGCACAACUCUUAGCAACGGAUAUCUUGGUUCUC